rnacentral:rRNA from 1 species
GACGAACGCUGGCGGCGUGCCUAAUACAUGCGAGUUGAGCGAUGAAGAUUGGUGCUUGCACCAAUUUGAAGAGCAGCGAACGGGUGAGUAACGCGUGGGGAAUCUGCCUUUGAGCGGGGGACAACAUUUGGAAACGAAUGCUAAUACCGCAUAACAACUUUAAACAUAAGUUUUAAGUUUGAAAGAUGCAAUUGCAUCACUCAAAGAUGAUCCCGCGUUGUAUUAGCUAGUUGGUGAGGUAAAGGCUCACCAAGGCGAUGAUACAUAGCCGACCUGAGGGGGUGAUCGGCCACAUUGGGACUGAGACACGGCCCAAACUCCUACGGGAGGCAGCAGUAGGGAAUCUUCGGCAAUGGACGAAAGUCUGACCGAGCAACGCCGCGGGAGUGAAGAAGGUUUUCGGAUCGUAAAACUCUGUUGGUAGAGAAGAACGUUGGUGGGAGUGGAAAGCUCAUCAAGUGACGGUAACUACCCAGAAAGGGACGGCUAACUACGUG